AACGGAAAGGCCCUGCUUGCAGGGUACUCGAGUGGCGAACGGGUGAGUAACACGUGGGUGAUCUGCCCUGCACUUCGGGAUAAGCUUGGGAAACUGGGUCUAAUACCGGAUAGGAGCCAUCUUUAGUGUGGUGGUUGGAAAGUUUUUUCGGUGUAGGAUGAGCUCGCGGCCUAUCAGCUUGUUGGUGGGGUAAUGGCCUACCAAGGCGGCGACGGGUAGCCGGCCUGAGAGGGUGUACGGCCACAUUGGGACUGAGAUACGGCCCAGACUCCUACGGGAGGCAGCAGUGGGGAAUAUUGCACAAUGGGCGCAAGCCUGAUGCAGCGACGCCGCGUGGGGGAUGAAGGCCUUCGGGUUGUAAACUCCUUUCGCUAGGGACGAAACUUUUUUGUGACGGUACCUAGAUAAGAAGCACCGGCUAACUACGUGCCAGCAGCCGCGGUAAUACGUAGGGUGCGAGCGUUGUCCGGAAUUACUGGGCGUAAAGGGCUCGUAGGUGGUUUGUCGCGUCGUCUGUGAAAUUCUGGGGCUUAACUCCGGGCGUGCAGGCGAUACGGGCAUAACUUAAGUGCUGUAGGGGUAACUGGAAUUCCUGGUGUAGCGGUGAAAUGCGCAGAUAUCAGGAGGAACACCGAUGGCGAAGGCAGGUUACUGGGCAGUUACUGACGCUGAGGAGCGAAAGCAUGGGUAGCGAACAGGAUUAGAUACCCUGGU
rnacentral:rRNA from 1 species